rnacentral:rRNA from 1 species
CCUACGGGCGGCAGCAGUGGGGAAUAUUGCACAAUGGGGGAAACCCUGAUGCAGCGACGCCGCGUGAGUGAAGAAGUAUCUCGGUAUGUAAAGCUCUAUCAGCAGGGAAGAAAAUGACGGUACCUGACCAAGACGCCCCGGCUAACUACGUGCCAGCAGCCGCGGUAAUACGUAGGGGGCAAGCGUUAUCCGGAUUUACUGGGUGUAAAGGGAGCGUAGACGGCAGAGCAAGUCUGGAGUGAAAUCCCGGGGCUUAACCCCGGAACUGCUUUGGAAACUGUGCGGCUGGAGUGCAGGAGGGGUAAGCGGAAUUCCUAGUGUAGCGGUGAAAUGCGUAGAUAUUAGGAGGAACACCAGUGGCGAAGGCGGCUUACUGGACUGUAACUGACGUUGAGGCUCGAAAGCGUGGGGAGCAAACAGGAUUAGAUACCCUUGUAGUC